GGGCCCGUGGCCCAGCCAGGAAAAGAUUCCUGAAGGGCAUCGGCCUGCGGAGCCGGGGGUCCCGGGUUCAAAUCCCGGCGGGCCCGCCA
rnacentral:tRNA from 1 species